AUUUGUAACUUCAAAUUGUGUCAAAAAAGUAAUAAAACAACCGUCACCGUUACAACUCUCCGCCGCAUCGUCCUCACCAUUCCGGUCGCUACUCUCCCGCGCGACACUCUCUCUCGUCCCUCAACCUCGCACUUGCACGGCGUAGUCACCGGUACGUCAGGCGCAACCCACUGCUUCAAUUGUUCUGCAUCAGAUCCCUUUUCCG